rnacentral:tRNA from 1 species
UGUACAACGGCGGUUUUUCAGGCCGUAGUUCUUGGAGAGAAGCCAAGCAGAAAUU